rnacentral:snRNA from 1 species
GGGCUUGUUUCAGUAGCACAGAUACUAAAAGUAGAACAUUACAGAGAAAAUUAGCACGGUCCCUGCGCAAAGAUGACACAGAAAUUUGCAAAGAACUCCAUAUUGUU